rnacentral:lncRNA from 1 species
AUGGGAGAUUCUUCAUCAUCCUCAUAUAUACACAUGGUAACUGAGAUAUCAUAAAACUAUAUACAUAUGUACAGUGCUCAUUUUGUUGAUUUGGUUAAUUCCAUAUUCAUUAAUCUCUUGAUUUGUAUGUAUAUACAUGUUUAUGUUUCAAUUUCUGUUAUUGGUGUUAAUUCUGACAUGGGGUGAUGGGUGCCCUAAUUCAUUACAAAUAUAGGUGCAGCACCUGAUAGAGAAGUGCCUGAUCUACCACAUGAGUAAAGAAGAGUGCAUGGAAGCUCUGUCUAAGCAUGCAAACAUCGAGCCUGUCAUCACCUCCACCGGUUAGUUCGCUCUAUAUAUAUCUCUCUCUCUUCUUCCAUGUUUCAGCAGUAGCUAGUAUAUUGUUCCAUGGAACUAAGGUCCAAAAUAUGGAAGAAACAGGUGUUUCCGCCACUCUUUUCUCUCUCUCUCUCUCUCUCUCUCUCUCUCUCUCUCUCUCUCUCUCCCCUUAAUUUUCUGUAUCAUAACAUGCAUGCAAGCAAACAUAAUUAAGCUAUGCACCAAACAAGUUCUUAAGGAGGCUGUGAUGGUUAUAGAGGUUGAUAAUCUCCCGUGACUCAAAAUUUGUUCUGUAAAUCACGUACACAAAGCUGCAAAACAUUAUGCAGUUUAUGGCAAACAAUGAAUAUUAAUUCUAGUUCAACUUUAAUAACCCAAGUAACCCUUUGCGCUGAUCUAAAUUAAACUCAGUGGGGGGCUGUUUGCAAUUCACACCCGAGGUACUAGGUUCGAACACCUUCUGUCAUGGAAAUCAGUUUGAUUGAAAAUACGAUUGAGCCUAGAUAUUAUGGCCUUCAAGAAUCUUCAAAAAAGCAGCCUCUACUCUAUAUGAUCCAAACUUGUGCCAAACUAAAUGGUUUAUAUAUAUAUAUAUAUAUAUAUAUAUAUAUAUAUAUAUAUAUGGGGCGGAUCCGUGGCACUAUAUUUUUUACACAAGUUUUAACACCAAUUUUUAACCAUUAGAUUUAAACACUAUUAAUGGCUGAGAUUAAAUCUCACAACUAAUUUAUUAUUAUCUUUCUAAUAAUACUUUUAUUCAACAUUGUUUAUUGUAUUAUAACAUAAUAAUUACCAAUCGUACACUAUCCAUAACUCUCCAACUUUCUUUGCCUUUCUACCUGUGCUCGUUAGGGUGAGCACUCAGCACUCAACAAUAGCAUCCAGUCUAUUUAGAACCCUAAUCAAAUCGUCUAAAUUGAGAUCAGUUGGGACCAUAAAUUUCAUCCUCAUAAGGAGUCAAAUCAGUAACCACACCGCCAAAUAGAUGCAUGAUUGCUUUGAAAGGCGUAUUAAUUGGAGCCAUCGUUGCGGGUUUCUUUUUGCGAGUCUCUCUGGUCUCUCCAUCCCUCUUUCUCCAACAUUAUAUUUUGCAGGUUUCUUUGCCAAAAUUUCUAGAUUUUAAUAUCAUGAAGAAUGUCCAGUUAACAAAAAUAAAAAAAAGGAGCCAGGGUUGCUGAUUCACUCACUCAAUUAGUUGCUAACUUAUUACAUAUUGAAAUAAAAUUAAGAUUACUGAUAAAGCGGAAAAGCAAUUGAUUGAGAUUCAUUGUGAUCAUCCCUAAUGAAAUUUCAAGAAACAAAGAGCAUGAUUACCCUGCCCUCCCAUGGAAGUCCCCCAAAUUCGUUCUGGUUUUGAGUGGAGAGAAGUGUUUUCUGAUCCUAACAAUCCCAUGUCCGCUUGGGUAUUUUCUCAAACUCAAUAUGCAUUGCUUUGUUUCAAUGUGGGUAUGAAAGGGGGGCAAAUGGUGAUUUUUAGCACAUCGAGGCUAUGGAAAUUACCAACGCUAGGCAUGGAGGAAAGGAGAUGUAGAAUUUGGGGUACUGUGCAAUUCAUAAUUAUUAGAUUAAAAUAUUAAUAAUUCGAAUAAAUAUAAUUAUUAGAAGGAUAAUAAUAAAUUAGUUGUUAGACUUAAUCUCAGCCAUUAAUAGUGUUUAAAUCUAAUAGUUUAAAAUUUGUGUCAAAACUUGUGUAAAAACGUAGUGUCACAGAUCCGCCUCCUAUAUGUAUAUAUAUAUGUAUCAACUUAAACGUAGAUCAUGAUAUGAAUGAUUUUGGUGUAGUUUGGAAUGAACUGGAGAAAGUGAACAAGGAGUUCUUCGAGGCGUAUGCACAGUCUCAAAACAAAGGAGAUCGAAUGUCAGAGGAAGAGACAAGCCAAUUGAUCCAAAAGAUGAUAUCGGAUUCCAAAGAUUCCGACGACUAG